rnacentral:rRNA from 1 species
UUCGGGUUGUAACCUCUUUUAGCAAGGAAGAAGCGAAAGUGACGGUACUUGCAGAAAAAGCGCCGGCUAACUACGUGCCAGCAGCCGCGGUAAUACGUAGGGCGCAAGCGUUAUCCGGAAUUAUUGGGCGUAAAGAGCUCGUAGGCGGUUUGUCGCGUCUGCUGUGAAAUCCCGAGGCUCAACCUCGGGUCUGCAGUGGGUACGGGCAGACUAGAGUGCGGUAGGGGAGAUUGGAAUUCCUGGUGUAGCGGUGGAAUGCGCAGAUAUCAGGAGGAACACCGAUGGCGAAGGCAGUUCUCUGGGCCGUAACUGACGCUGAGGAGCGAAAGCGUGGGGAGCGAACAGGAUUAGAUACCCUGGUAGUCCAAGGGCGAA